AUACAGAGGGUGCAAGCGUUAAUCGGAAUUACUGGGCGUAAAGCGCGCGUAGGUGGUUUGUUAAGUUGGAUGUGAAAGCCCCGGGCUCAACCUGGGAACUGCAUCCAAAACUGGCAAGCUAGAGUACGGUAGAGGGUGGUGGAAUUUCCUGUGUAGCGGUGAAAUGCGUAGAUAUAGGAAGGAGCACCAGUGGCGAAGGCGACCACCUGGACUGAUACUGACACUGAGGUGCGAAAGCGUGGGGAGCAAACAGGAUUAGAAACCCCUGUAGUCC
rnacentral:rRNA from 1 species